ensembl:lncRNA
GCUCAGCCAGCUUUUUAGGUGCCUAUUGUGCAGGCUGCCUUCUAUGCCCAGUGGGAUAUCUGUGAUACUGUUGUGUUAAUGUGCUUCAGCUUUCUGCAGUUUUUACUGCCACAUUUUCCUCCUCUGGCUGCAAUCAACCUGAAGUUUCUGGUGUGUCAGUGGAAUAAAAGAGAAAGAGGUGGGAUGUAUAUAGCAAGCCAGACUGGAAGUAGAGUAAUAACAAAGUGAUAUUUUCAGAAGAAACAGCAGCUAAGCAGAGCCCCCGUGCAGCCCAGAAGCUCAGCAUGGGCCUGUCUAAGCCUAUAUGCUGUAAUGGGGGUGCCAUGCAGCCUCUUCAGGACCUACCCAUGGCUGCCUUCCUAAUGGGAGUUCAACUUCUUUGUGAGGGAAGGAAGAGGGAAGAGACGGAAAGCUGCUAGGGGUGAAGGUGUGGUAGCUGAUAGCCUGCUCUGAAAGGUCUAAUAUGAACAGUAGCUUCUUCUGAGCCCGUGCUCCACCCUACCAUACACUGCCAGAACAGGCGAAAUGCUGGAAGCUUCAGGGUAACUCUCCCAGUUCAACUCAAGGCACCAUCUCCAGGACCUUUGCAACAGAGAAUCCUGUGUCUGUCCAGACAGCAACUGACCAUCCAGUUUAACAUUUUGAUUCCCCAAGUGAGUGUUACCCUGUGUCAAGGGCUUGUUAAUUUAUUUAACAAACAAUCUCUCCAUGGACAUUUAUUCAGUAAUAUGAUAUAUGUACUUACAAAGACACCAACCCACUAUGAAACUGCAAUUCUACUUAAGACACAUCGGUGGGAAAAAGCCCAGGGCAUCCAUCUGCAGCUGCUUUAAUAAAGUAUUCAUUACUAUAUUGCCACUGAACUUGGUAUUCACAUAUUAAGAUCUCCCUACCAAAAGGAAAGAUAUUCUUUUCCUCUUUCACCAGUGCUGAGACCUUUUGUGGAAGCAGCAGUGACUUCUUUUUUCCAAAGAUGCAUAUACCUACAGUGGAUCGAAAACACAACAUCAUACCAGAAACUGUGAAGAAAACCAACUCUGUCCCAGAUGAAAUAAGGCCAAUUGGAGUAGAUGUGGAAGAUUUCUUUAGGAAAGAUAACGAACCCACAGUCAUGCUAAGCCAGCAGGAGGAGUAAGGGAGUAUCCUCAGCACUGGGUCUGCACUUUGGCAGGUUGCUUUGCAUUUUAAGAACUGGGUUAUCCUUCAGAUCCUGACUAGGAAGUAGCAGCCGGUGGAUGUCAGUUAAUACUUCAUGAGCACUGAGUGGUGGCUACUCUAGCACCUGCAACUUGCAUCAGCUGCAGCCUAUUGCCCGAUAAUUAGUGACAAUAUUGAAGGAUGGUCAUCUGAUAACAAGAAGUCAUUUGCAUAACCAUAAGCUGCCUGCUGGAAUUAAAGAGCCUCUUUCCUUGCAAAUCCAUUAUAAACGGACAUAAACUAAAAGACUGGGUUUAGCUUUUCAAAGCUACCUAAGGGAUUCCUAGCUUUGAAAAUCUCAGCCAAAAUGUGUACUGCUGUAAAUGAGAACAAAGCAAUUUACUGUGUAUUGGCAUGGGGAGAAAAAAAAUAGUGUGUGUAAAUAAUUUAGAAGUGAGGCUGCUCUUUGGAGGGCUAGCUAUAUUAGCUUUAUGAUAAUAGCUUUUCUCUUGAACAUUGCUGCAAAUUGCCACAUUGUAAUAACAGUUCAUCUGGACCUAAGAAAUGCCCAUAUACUUUGAUGUGCAGCCGUGUCCUUUCUUAACCAGAGAACUAGGGAAGUGAAAAGAUGUGGUGCCUGUUGUGAGAUAAAUGUUUGUGUCUUUGUUUCAGACUCUACAGUGAGAAUCUGGGAAGCUGUAAGGGUCAGAAAUGAUAAAAAUUGGAAUUUUUUGCUUGGGUGGUGGUUUGGGCUAUACCCAGAAGUUGCAGUUCUUCUUGAAGGUCUUCAAAACUGUUUUGUAGGUAUUUGUACUGCUCUUAUGUAAAUACAAAUGGGAUCUUAGUCACAUGCUUAAACAUAUUUUGUCUUUAAUACAGCAGAAAAACUGUCAUAAAAGAGCUGUGAGACAGUGAAAGAAAUCUGAGCAUCUUUGCUGUACAGUGCAGUGACAGAAUGCUGCAAACCUACUUGCCUUGAGUCAGCUCAGUUUCUAUAUUUUAGUGAAGGGCAGUAUUUGCCUUCUUCCUCCUGUCUUCCAGCAGUAAUGCAUAAAGAGCGAAUAUUAUACAAAUACUCAUAUGCCUGAAGUUAGAAUUGGCUGAUGUAUCCUCAGCAAAUUUGCAUUUAAUUUAAUCUGCUGCAAUUCAUUCAGUCCUUUUAAAAAUGCUCAUAAACUAAGCUGUUGCAACCCAGUCUCUCAGAAAAUCUGUUUAUUAGAAAGCUGCUAAUUAAUCUUUUCCCACUUUUUAUCUAAUGCUUUUAUUUCAUAAAGAGUUGAUAUGGCUUUUAGUUCUAAAUGAAAUUUUUCAGGAUGACUGUCUUACAUUAUUUAGUAUGUGUUAGCAAACAGGGUACCAGUUCACAGCUCAGCUUAGAUUGUUGGGAAUUCUAAGAUGAUUAUUUUUUAUUGCUUCCUAGAGGGUGCUUGCAGCUGCUUACGUGUAUGAUGAAAUCUAUUUAUAUCUGUUCAGGAGCAACUACUACUGUGUUACAGACUAAAGUUUAACCUGAAGAAGGCUGCUUGCUUUCCCCUUUUUGUGUUUCACAUUUUGUUGUUCUUUUUCUUGACAGUUUUUUCAAGUUACAGGUGGAAGAAAAGUGGGACAAAAUGUCAGUUAGUGAGGAAAAUAUGUAGAAGCAUGACAUGAUGUUACCUUCAUGUCCAUUCUUCCCUGGGCCUGUCAAACAUGAUGCAAAACAGAUGGCAGAGGCAACACAGUGCCAUGGGAGAGCUUUUGAUCUUUGGUGCUGACUUUCAUGGCAAAACUGUCCAAUCACCUUUAGAGCAGGCACAAUGCCAUAGCAACAGAUGAGGAGGAGUGUAAGUAGCAAUAUAUCAUAUCUGUUUGUUGAGCUGAGAAUGUCCAAAAGGUUUUAGGUUCAAAUAAACAGCUUGCCUGCACUUGGUGCGGCAAAGGGAGAAGAGAAGGUGAUUCAGAGCUAUGUGUGUCCUUCUCAGCUCUUUUGUUGCAUGUUGUCUUUGGUAAACUGCUCUUUGAUAUAACCUAGAGCAGCAUAAAUAUAAAUCUCCUUUUAGCAAGUGAUUUGUUUCCCAAAAGAUAGAUCUGUUCUACUACCUUCUCUCUCUAACUCUGAUUUUAGCUUUGAUGGCAAAUAAAACUGUAAGUAGGAUGCUCAGGAAACCACAGUGUGAACAUUCAGUUAAAAAGCUGAUGUUUGUCAAGCUUUUGGAUUAGCCUGUCAAGCCUUAUUAUUCUUUCCGCACCAACCAGCAAAAUAAGGCUUGAUUUCAUAUUCCGGAUUCUUUACAUCUAUUUCAGUGCAUCUUAGUCAGUAAGGCACAGUGGUAUUUGAGAUUUUUUGGACAUCUUCCUUUUAUAUAUCUACAUAUGUUUUGUAUUUCUGGCUUGUUGAUAAGCCCUGACGGUCAUCUUUGGAUAGUCAUACCCAAACAAGAGAGGAAAUAAAGAUAUCUGCCUUAGAUGCCAUGUAUUUUUGGAUGUAUAAGACCUUCCCAAGGAUGAAAAUGGAAAAUUUAGUAGGAGUUUCUCUAACUGGAGGUUUUUCAAUCUCACAUUAAUUGUUGCAAGAUGGUAUGAAAUACUUAAUAUUGUUCAGGAGUAAGGAACAAAUAAAUCCACGCUAUCUCACUGCCUCAUUGAGAUUUCUUACGGCAUCCUGUUGUAAUAUUUUUCUUAAGUUGUCAUUAGUUGUCAUAAUUAAGUUGUUACACGAAGUGUAACAUUAUUGAAAAAGCUUAAAGAUUUUAGAGAUUAAGUCUGUAUGGUUCAGUAGAAAUGUAAUUUGCCUCAACAGAAAUUGCUAUGAAUUGAGAGAAUUAAACAGAACAUGGAAGUGUUGCAGUUAGCUUUCAAAGCAUUUUGUGGAAGGAUGGAAUUUUCAGUGAAAUCAUGAAAUUUUCCAGGAUAAAUCGGGGAUCAAAAAUAAUCACUUAAAAAUCUUAUACAUCUGAGAAAACUGUAUUUACUCCUUUCAAAACUCCUUUCACCUUAGCACAUCUAAACUGGUUUUGAGCUG